GCCAGCAGCCAGUCACAACUGGCAACCCACUGAAGCUAAGCAGGUGUGAGCCUGGUCAAUACCUGGAUGGGAGACCUCCUGGGAAAAACUAAGGUUGCUGCUGGAA
rnacentral:rRNA from 1 species